GUGGGGUUUAAACCUUUUUCGUUAAUAAUUGAGUUGUCAGACUAAUUGUUCAAUUUCAUUUUACACUUUUUCAAAAAUUGGGCGAGUCGGUAAACAAGAGUGGGGCGAUUUUCUUGUAAAGUGGCGAUAUAGUAUGGGCCGAUUGGCAAGUCGGGCGAGUUGACAUUGUUUGAUAUCUACUCAUCGUGUUCGGGGGUCAUAAAGGGUAUACAUCAUAUAGUAAUAAAUAAAGUAUAUUUUAAUGGUUGUUUGGCGUUCUAAACUAGAUUUUAGGAAUUGUAAAUGGUU
rnacentral:lncRNA from 1 species